GAUUUGGGUGUCUUUGCCGGUCUUGCGAUCGGCUCACCCUAAAUGCAUUAGCUGGCUUUUGGGUCCGCGAACUCGGUGUGAUAAUUGUCACUCGCUGAGAUUUCGUAACCUUAAGGAAGCUGCUUCCAAUCGUCUCCUUCGGGAGACAAUACAUCUAAGUGUUUGACCUCAAAUCAGGUAGGACUACCCGCUGAACUUAA
rnacentral:misc_RNA from 1 species